rnacentral:rRNA from 1 species
UACGAAGGGGGCUAGCGUUGUUCGGAAUCACUGGGCGUAAAGCGCACGUAGGCGGAUUUUUAAGUCAGGGGUGAAAUCCCGAGGCUCAACCUCGGAACUGCCUUUGAUACUGGAGAUCUUGAGUCCGGAAGAGGUAAGUGGAGCUGCGAGUGUAGAGGUGAAAUUCGUAGAUAUUCGCAAGAACACCAGUGGCGAAGGCGGCUUACUGGUCCGGAACUGACGCUGAGGUGCGAAAGCGUGGGGAGCAAACAGG